AAGACUCAAACAGAAAUAGUUUUUCAGAAGGAACAGCAGCAGAGCAAUCCAUCCAAGUAGAUAAAAUUUCAGAUAUUAGGAGACGUCAUGGUUGCCGAGACCUGCUCAUCCUUAGCUUUCUUCUUCAUUGCCGGUGAGUAUCAUCUCAAGAGUGAAUUGUUGCAUGGUGGUUGUCUCAUUGGCCAUGUGGAUAAUAUUAUUAUGAGUUUGGUUCUGUCAUUUUUGCAUUUUGAUUGUGUUUGGGGACAUUAAGUGUUCACUGAUAUUGCUGAAGAACAUUGACACUGCAUACCUACAUAUCCACUAGUAUAUUGAUAUAUAAGGCUGAGUUACAAGGAUAUGCCAUCUCAGUAUACUAUAUCAAUGUUACCUUUUUUUCAGUGCUAUGCCUUUAUAUGUUAAAGUCUGAUAUCCAUAAGCUCACUCUAUAGGCGUAGCUUGCAAAUUCAAGUUAGCGAGCAGACUGUCUUGUGUUAUGAAUGGAUGUGCUACAUAGUACAUGAGUACUACACUAUAGUUUUAUGCUUAUUUUUAAGUGAUUAAUAUCGAGCAGUUGUGAAUUAUCAAUAUGCUGAUCUCAGAUAUUUCUUUGAAUGGAUAUGUAGAUGAAAUGGAUACGUAUGUAAAUUGGUGUGGCCAAUGGUGAUUUCUUGACAUAGCAAGCCUAAUGCUGCGAGGAAUACACGGUGAAACUCAACUUGCAACUACCUCAGAAGGUUAGUUGGUGUGGGUCAACCCUGAAGGAUCACAUGGCUGUCCUCAUCAAGUGCACAUUUAGAGCCAUUAGCCAUCUUAUGGCCUUUUUAACUUGCUCGCCUUGUAUCACAUUCAGUUUUAUUGCCUUCUUGGCCUGAUACCGGCUGCUUGUAUCAUAUGAUUCUUUCUUUGGUGGGAUUCAUAUUAUUCUUGUAGGAAAUUGUGUUUGAAACUAAAAUUUAGUAAGGGUGGGCCUUUGUUGAGCUAAGUCAAAUACAAAUUUGUAAUGUUGGAA
rnacentral:lncRNA from 1 species